CCCGCCGGACCUGACUGCUAUCGGAUUGAUACUAAGCCAUGCGAGUCUUUGCAGUAAUGCAAGGCAUACGGCUCAGUAACACGUAGUCAACCUACCCUAUGGACGAGAAUAAUCUCGGGAAACUGAGCAUAAUUCCUGAUAGAUCAUAAUGCCUGGAAUGGUUUAUGGUUAAAAUGAUUCGUCGCCAUAGGAUGGGACUGCGGCCUAUCAGCUUGUUGGUGAGGUAAUGGCCCACCAAGGCGAUUACAGGUACGGGCUCUGAGAGGAGAAGCCCGGAGAUGGGUACUGAGACACGGACCCAGGCCCUAUGGGGCGCAGCAGGCGAGAAAACUUUGCAAUGUGCGAAAGCACGACAAGGUUAAUCCGAGUGAUUUCUGCUAAAGAAAUCUUUUGCCAGUCAUAAAACCACUGGUGAAUAAGGGGUGGGCAAGUUCUGGUGUCAGCCGCCGCGGUAAAACCAGCACCUCAAGUGGUCAGGAUGAUUAUUGGGCCUAAAGCAUCCGUAGCCGGCUUUGUAAGUUUUCGGUUAAAUCCAUGUGCUCAACGCAUGGGCUGCCGAAAAUACUGCAUGGCUAGGGAGUGGGAGAGGUAGACGGUACUCAGUAGGAAGGGGUAAAAUCCUUUGAUCUAUUGAUGACCACCUGUGGCGAAGGCGGUCUACCAGAACACGUUCGACGGUGAGGGAUGAAAGCUGGGGGAGCAAACCGGAUUAGAUACCCGGGUAGUCCCAGCUGUAAACGAUGCAGACUCGAUGAUGCAUUGGCAUAAUAGCCAGUGCAGUGUCGCAGGGAAGCCGUUAAGUCUGCCGCCUGGGAAGUACGUACGCAAGUAUGAAACUUAAAGGAAUUGGCGGGGGAGCACCACAAGGGGUGAAGCCUGCGGUUCAAU
rnacentral:rRNA from 1 species